UACGGAGGAUCCGAGCGUUAUCCGGAAUUAUUGGGCGUAAAGAGCGCGCAGGUGGUUGAUUAAGUCUGAUGUGAAAGCCCACGGCUUAACCGUGGAGGGUCAUUGGAAACUGGUCGACUUGAGUGCAGAAGAGGGAAGUGGAAUUCCAUGUGUAGCGGUGAAAUGCGUAGAGAUAUGGAGGAACACCAGUGGCGAAGGCGGCUUCCUGGUCUGUAACUGACGCUGAGGCUCGAAAGCGUGGGGAGCAAACAGGAUUAGAUA
rnacentral:rRNA from 1 species